rnacentral:lncRNA from 1 species
CUGCAUUUCCAAUCAGGUGCCAAAAUUCCAAGAUUUGCCAUGAGCAAAGGUUGUGUGUAUGAGUGGGCAGGUUGAAAAUUGUUUAGUCACCCCAAGACCGGAUACUAAAAGCCACUGGUACAAUGUACCACAGGCUGGCAUAUCACUCAGCCAGAGCUUCGCUUUAACUGAGUGGAGGCUCAGUUCACAAAGACUGGCAAUAAAAGAGCUGCAAGAAAACCAUUAUGCAGAAAAAAAAGAGAAGAGAAGAGAAGAGAAGAGAAGAGAAGAGAAGAGAAGAGAAGAGAAGAGAAGAAAGAAGCACUGACCUAUUAAAAAGGAAGAAAACUGGCUUGUGCUGGAUGGCGCGUCCCCUGAGGUUUGGACACAUCGACUACAGAACACAGAAGAGCAGAGAGCCAGGAAACCCAGGAGUAAGCACAGCUGGAGUCUGUAAAGUUCUCCCUUCUUUGAUUCAGAGAGAAACAAGUAAGCAGUUGCCCUACUGCUCCAGCUGUUCGUUUCUGUUGUCUGGAAUGUAUAAUAAACGGAGUUCUAAAAACCAGCAGUGUGUUGCCUACUUUCUCCUUCACCAAAUUUUACUAACUUGGUUGGUGUCUUUCAGGAAACCUUCCCUCAUAGACCUUCCAUGAAAACAGCUUAGUUAUUCUGUGUGAUAUUCAAAUUGUGUAAGUAGACAAAGAAAUUUCUUCCAAACCUCUAGCUGCAGAAGUUACAGGGGAAGACCUCACAGUCAUUUUGUCCAAAAC